AUAACUGGAACGCCACGUUGACGCGGAAGUUUGAAGCUAAAUUAUACAAGGUCGUACACAGGCUUUAAAAGGCCCGUUUUGAAAUAAAAGGCCCGUUUCCCUUUCGAUUCACAUAUUGCAAUGAAAACUUUCAAAACGGCAUGCUUCGAUCGCCCCCUGCAUUGUUUCGCGAGUAAAUCGCGCAGUAGAAACACGCGUGGAAGUGCGUGUCUGGGAGUCAAAACUGGCUUCAUUUGGCUUCAUAGGAGUCAAAUUUUGGCUUCAAAAUUUGCAUGCGCAGUUUACUGAACGUAGCGUUCCAGUUAUUUUUAGUUCAAUGGUAAUUCUAUACACCACGCACCAUAGAUCUCUUACUUCAUGUUAGUAUAAGUAUAUUGCAUCAGAAUUUUGGACGUCACCUGGAUACUUCGACGACAAGCGCAUGCGCAUUACGUGGUACCUUGGCAUCAGAUAAGGCAGGGCUCAUCCCACAAUCCGUGUCCAUUGUUUUGCAUUCGUCGUUACGAGCAAAAUCCAAAGUACGUUUUGCUGGACUGUGUCGUGUCGUGCCAUUGGGUAGUCUGUUCGGUUUCCAGACAUCUUCAAAUCCAAAUUUCGCUUCGGCAUCGCCGUUUACGCGUAAUGGACU